GGGUCGGGCCUUUCAGGCAUCCUCUCCUAAAAACUUUUAAGGCCGGUCGCGAGACCGGCCUUUCUUUUUGGCUGCG
rnacentral:sRNA from 3 species